CCAGGCUAGGGGUCAAAUGGGAACUAUAGCUGCCAGCCUAUGCCACAGUCAUAGCAACACAGGAUCCAAGUUUCAUCUGUGACCUAGGCUGCAGCUCGUGGCAACAGUGGAUCCUCCCUCCUCCUGAGGGAGGCCAGGGAUCAAACUCGAAACCUCAUAAUAGUAUGUCGGGUUCUUAACCCACUGAGCCACAACAGGAACUCCAAUGUUUGACUUCUUCAGGUAACUCAUAUAAGUGGACUCAUAAAAUAUUCGUCCUUUUGUGUCUGGUUUAUCUCACACAGCUCAAUGUCCUCAAGAUUCAUUGGUGUUGUAGCAGGUGUCAGAAUUUCCUUCCUUUUGUUUUUUUAUUGACCUUUCCUUGAGGCAUGCAGCAGUUCCGGGGCCAGGGAUUGAAAUCACGCUACAGCUGUGACCUGAGCCACAGCAGUGCCAAAGCCAGGUCCUUAACCUGCUGAGCCACCAAGGAACUCCUCCUCCUUCCUUUUUAAGGCUGAAUAACAUUCCAUUGUCUGAAUACCGCAUUUGGUUCGUCCAGUCAACUGUCAGUGGGCUCUUGGGUGCUUUCUACCUUUUGCCAUUGUGAACAACGCUGCUGUGAACAUGGGUGAACCAAUAUAGAUGCUGAUGGGAGUUCUUGUUGUGGCUCAGGGGGUUAUAAACCCGACUAGUAUCCAUGAGGAUGCAGAUGAGAACCCUGGCCUUGCUCAGUGGGUUAAGGAUCUGGUAUUGCUGCGAGCUGUAGUGUAAGCUGCAGAUGAAGCUGAGCUCUGGUGUGGCUGUGGCUGGGGUGUGGGCCGGCAGCUGCAGCUCCGAUUCGACCCCUAGCCUGGGAACUUCCAUAUGCUGCACCUGCAGCCCUAAAAAAACCCAAACCAAAAAACCAACCUUCCCCCCCCAAAACCCAAAUAUAGAUGCUAACUUUUGAAGGCUCUGUCAUGGCGGGUGGUAGAGGGCACACCACAAACUCCUCCUACCGGUUCCUUGCUGGAGACACGAGAACUAGCGGAACCACCGCUUGACCAAGACCUUGCCAUCUGGUCCACCCAUGAGAAACUCAGAGAGGACCAGCCACAUGGCUGAAACCGCACAGCCAGGAAGCGGAGGAGUCAAGUUUCAAACCCAGAGCUGUCACAGGAAAUGCUGCUUUCCAGCUACCUGGCCUCUCUUGUCCAACCCUCUGAGCAAUGCUGGUGUCUGCUCCGUGACGGGCCUGCCAGUGGCCCAAUGUUAGCCUGGCAAGAGCUGCUUCUCCGUGCUGGGCAAGCUGGCCGUGGGAGCCUGAAACCCAUUUUAUUCAUGACAAAUGAAAAGCAGAUGAGAUUUUAAAUGUUCUGCUUCGGUUGCCAGAGCUGGGUGGAGCAGGGCCCCUGUGAGCAGUCACACCAAAUAAAACAUAUUAUUUAAGAGCGACUGGAAGGCAGACAAGCUGAGAACACCGCGCAUAGCGGGACUACCGCGAUCCGCUCAUAAGCAUCAAAACCGCUCUCCCCAGGCUCGCACAUGGAUUCACAUGUAGGGCAAUUUCCCUCAUGGUAGCGCAAUUCCACGACUGGGCUUGGGCUCCUGGACAAGCGACUUCCCAGCCAAAUGACUUCCAGCCCCAACACAGAGCACAGGGCGCAGCGGGGCUGAGCGUCCCUGGGCCUGCCCUGCACUGCCUGGGGAGCCAUCAUCUGCACUCACGACCCACCCUUUCAGGUCCUGUUGGGAUGAGGAGGGAGGGCAGCGCCUUGGCCCUUACGCUGUGCGCCAUAACCAGCAGGCUGGGCCUGGAAGCAGCCAAGCUGGAGACUGAGGCUCCGAGAGGUAAGAGGCAUGCCUGAAGACACACAGCUCACCCAAGGAACUCCUAAAUGGUAGGAAGGCAGGACUGGUUAGCAGGUGUGGUCCUGGGUGAUACUGGCACCCCUCGAACAGAUAUUUAGAGGGAAGAGGCAGUGUAGCAGUGCCACGUUACAAUGUCAGACUCAGGGGGUUCUCAGGCCCUCUGAAGCCAAAUUUUUUUUUUUUUUUUUUGUCUUUUUGCUAUUUCUUGGGCCGCUCCUGCGGCCUAUGGAGAUUCCCAGGCUAGGGGUCCAAUCAGAGCUGCAGCCACCGGCCUACGCCAGAGCCAUAGCAACGCGGGAUCCGAGCCGCUUCUGCAACCUACACCACAGCUCACGGCAACGCUGGAUGGUUAACCCGCUGAGCAAGGGCAGGGACUGAACCCGCGACCUCAUGGUUCCUAGUCGGAUUCGUUAACCACUGCGCCACGACGGGAACUCCUGAAGCCAAAUUUUAGGAAGGGGCAGGACUGAGUCUGGUGGGGUGUUCUUGGGUGGCUCUGGGGUGAGAGUGCUGAAUCCUAACCACUAGACCACAAGGGUCAGCAGGCUUGAUGUACGUCCCAGUCCUUGUCUCCUGGAGAAAAAAUUCAGCAAAGAGACUGAGAGUGGUGAGGCGUGUAAAGUGUUUAUCGAGAGAGAAGCUAGGUGUGGAGAAAUACGAGCAGGCUCAGAGACAGACGGACAGACAGUCAGACUCACCGACAGAGAGAGCCAUGCCCUUUGGGGUGGUUUGAAUCACUUACAUGGGGGCAGUUCUUCCACGUUUCUUCCGGCCAAUCAUCUUGCUUUGUCUGGUCUUGAGUCCACAUUUGGCCUGACUCAGGGCCUUGCCCUGUGUGUGCGCAUGCAUCUUUUACCCAAGAUGGAGUCUAGCGCAAGCGUUUCUGGAAGGUUGACAGGAUAUAUUAGGAUGUGUUAUGAGUCAGGCACCCCCCCCCCCCCCCCCCCGCCUUCUCUGACCCUGAGGAAUCUCUGUGCCUGUGUAGUUUGGGAGGUCUCCUUGAGGUCAAAAAUGAGAAAUAUGUUUAUCGUUUAUAUAAGCAGGACUCAGCUCCUCCUUGCUCCUGUCAUAACCUUUAUCUUGAAGUAUCUGUCCACAAGAGACAAUGAUAGGGAGCCCAGCUCUUGGAGACUGGAAGCCUUGGAAAGGCACAGACCCCAACACCAGGCACAGGUACAUGAGGCAUCUGACGUGUAUUUAUGAUCACCUGGCUUGUGCCCUUGGAGCUCACACUCCAGCAGGAGGGAGCUGUGGAACAAUAGCAGUAACCCUUAACCAGAGCUUCAUCAUCACCAAGCACUGUGGAGUUCCCUGGUGGCUCAGUGGGUUAAGGAUCCAGUAUUGGCUGCUGUGGCUCAGGUAACUGCUGUGGCACAGGUUUGAUACCUGGCCUGG
rnacentral:lncRNA from 1 species